rnacentral:lncRNA from 1 species
CCUCCCGAAAUGUCCACCACCCCCUCAUAGAACCUCAGGGUCAUGGGGGGCUUUUGUGUGCACCCUGCAUCCUGGGAAGGCGAGGCCUUGGGCUCACGGACUUUGAAUUGUGUCCCCCCCACUCUCCCUGCUGUGUGACCACAGAGACCCAUUCCUCUCCACCUCCACUUUCUCUUCUCCAAAAUGGAGGUGAGCACCUCCCCGGGCCAAGUGAGACCUAGACGAUGGUUCAAGGAAGGGGCUUUUAGAGCCAGAUGCCUGGGGGCACAUGCCAUUUACAUGCCAGCACUGGCUGGCAUAGAGGCAGGCACAAACUGUCUCCUUCAUCCUGUGGCCCCAUGUGGAGCAACCACCGUCCUCCCUUCCCACAGGUCACGAGACCUCUGCCAACCACUUGGCGUUCACAGUGAUGGAGCUGUCUCGCCAGCCAGAGAUCGUGGCAAGGCUGCAGGCCGAGGUGGAUGAGGUCAUUGGUUCUAAGAGGUACCUGGAUUUCGAGGACCUGGGGAGACUGCAGUACCUGUCCCAGGUCCUCAAAGAGUCGCUGAGGCUGUACCCACCAGCAUGGGGCACCUUUCGCC